GUCAAGUUUUGUACCAUCUCCAAUGUCCAACCUGCAAAAAGGUAACUAUAAGCUAUCCCACUCAGUGGAAGUAUAAUUAUCUGGGUGCAGCCAUUUCCAAACGAGAUCAAACUAUCAAAACUUGACAGUUCACGACUCCUCUAUUAUAAGUAUUUAGGUGCUUCCACAGUUUCCCUCAUUUGUGGUUUUGAUUAGUGAAGCCUUAUAAGCAACUUAAUUUACCUAAACGAUUACAAUAAUCAGUUUAACAGUUCCAUCUAAGGUACGACUAUUAGAUUAGUCUGAUCUGUUGACUUCUUUAUAAAUUGCUUGGAUGGUAGUGGAAGUCCGAAUUUCAUACAAAUGCCACAUAAGAGGCAAGAAAAGUUUAUUCCAUCUCUGGGUAGGAAGGUUGAGAAGGAAAAUACAAAUCAUAUCGCAUUUAACUGUGAUUUAAGGGCACACUUAGCCAGAGGUGCAUGUGAUGGAGGAUAGAUAUAUUGAUGUGGAAUAAUAUAGGGAAACAUAAUAAGUUGUCCAGUAAAUCUAGUAAGCAGUAGCGGUAAGCAUUAAUGUUAAUUCUCAUUGGCAAGCAAAGACUAAAGUUUAAUGUUAUGACUUACCAAUAGAAAAAUGGCUGUCCUGUAUCUCUUCCAAACCAUUCAUCGUAGUAAAUAUUCAAGUUAUGACCGUACCUAUGCCUUGGAUCAACCUGUGAUCAUGAGGAUGAAAUGAUUAUGACAGUUAACAAUGAUAAUCAUGUAAUACAUGCUGAUGAUGAUAAUCAAAUGCCUGAAUAGAUGAAAAGACUAGGGCUUAUUGAAAGUUUUGUGAUGUGUACUUACAGCUUCAAUCCAAUGUUGAAAAGCUAACUUUCUGGCCUUAUCAUCCUGAGAUAAGCCCUUUCCAACCUACAGAAAAAUAAGAUUCAGCGAAGAACUUCAGAGUUCAGAAGUACAAGGUCGGAGCAGGGGGGGCCUUAAACUUCAAUUUGUACAUCCUAAUGCUUGCCUUUGAAGCAAUUAAGCUGAUCCUAUUCCACCGAGAGGCAGCUGUUUCAGGUUUUGAGAAAUU
rnacentral:lncRNA from 1 species